AUCGAACGCUGGCGGCAUGCCUAACACAUGCAAGUCGAACGAGUGGCGGACGGGUGAGUAAUGUCUGGGAAACUGCCUGAUGGAGGGGGAUAACUACUGGAAACGGUAGCUAAUACCGCAUACCAUCAGAUGUGCCCAGAUGGGAUUAGCUGGUUGGUGGGGUAACGGCUCACCAGGGCGACGAUCCCUAGCUGGUCUGAGAGGCGGACCAGCCACACGGGACUGGAGACACGGCCCAGACUCCUACGGGAGGCAGCAGUGGGGAAUAUUGCACAAUGGGCGAAAGCCUGAUGCAGCCAUGCCGCGUGUAUGAAGAAGGCCUUCGGGUUGUAAAGUACUUUCAGCGGGGAGGCGUUACCCGAAGAAAAAGCACCGGCUAACUCCGUGCCAGCCGCCGCGGUAAUUC
rnacentral:rRNA from 1 species